UAAGGAAUAUUGCUCAAUGGGAGAAAUCCUGAAGCAGCAACGCCGCGUGGAGGAUGAAGGGUCUAUGACUUGUAAACUCCUGUAAAGAAGGAAAAAAUUCCCAUUUGAUGGGAGAUGAUGGUACUUCUGGAGUAAGCCCCGGCUAACUACGUGCCAGCAGCCGCGGUAAUACGUAGGGGGCAAGCGUUGUCCGGAUUUACUGGGUGUAAAGGGUGCUCAGGCGGAUUUGUAAGUCAGAGGUGAAAUCUUACAGCUUAACUGUGAAACUGCCUUUGAUACUGCAAGCCUAGAAUAUGGAAGAGAGUGAUGGAAUAUCUGGUGUAACAGUGAAAUGCGUAGAUAGCAGAUAGAACACCAAUGGCGAAGGCAGUCACUUGGUCCAUUACUGACGCUAAAGCACGAAAGCGUGGGUAGCAAACA
rnacentral:rRNA from 1 species